rnacentral:tRNA from 1 species
GGAGUUGUAACUCAGUGGUAGAGCGCUUACCUAGUAUGUAUGAGGCAAUGGGUUUGAUUCUCAGCACCU